rnacentral:misc_RNA from 1 species
GUAGGUGAACCUGCGGAAGGAUCAUUAAUGAAAUACGUCCCAUAAAUUUUACCAUUUCCCGCCUUCCUUAUCUUUUUUCUCUUUUUCUUGCCAGUUGGUGUGAAGGGGGGUCAGUCUUGGCCUUUUUUCUUCCGGUGAGCGGAAGGAGAGAAGGGGAUUUUGGAGUGGGGGGGGAGAUUUUCAACUCUGCCUGUUUUUUGUUUCUUCUUCUUCCAUAACAUUUAGGAUAAACGGCGUGAAAAGGAUUGUG